CGCAUCCUUCGGGGUGAGCGGCAGACGGGUGAGUAACGCGUGGGGAUAUGCCCAGAGGUGGGGAAUAACUGUGGGAAACUACAGCUAAUACCGCAUACGCCCUUCGGGGGAAAGAUUUAUUGCCUUUGGAUUAACCCGCGUCAGAUUAGCUAGUUGGUAGGGUAAUGGCCUACCAAGGCGACGAUCUGUAGCUGGUCUGAGAGGAUGAUCAGCCACACUGGGACUGAGACACGGCCCAGACUCCUACGGGAGGCAGCAGUGGGGAAUAUUGGACAAUGGGCGCAAGCCUGAUCCAGCCAUGCCGCGUGAGUGAUGACGGCCUUAGGGUUGUAAAGCUCUUUUAACAGGGACGAUAAUGACGGUACCUGUAGAAUAAGCCCCGGCUAACUUCGUGCCAGCAGCCGCGGUAAUACGAAGGGGGCUAGCGUUGUUCGGAAUCACUGGGCGUAAAGCGCACGUAGGCGGAUUCUUAAGUCGGGGGUGAAAUCCUGAGGCUCAACCUCAGAACUGCCUUCGAUACUGGGGAUCUUGAGUUCGGAAGAGGUUGGUGGAACAGCUAGUGUAGAGGUGAAAUUCGUAGAUAUUAGCUAGAACACCAGUGGCGAAGGCGGCCAACUGGUCCGACACUGACGCUGAG
rnacentral:rRNA from 1 species